rnacentral:rRNA from 1 species
UGGGGAAUAUUGGACAAUGGGCGCAAGCCUGAUCCAGCCAUGCCGCGUGAGUGAUGAAGGCCCUAGGGUUGUAAAGCUCUUUCAGCGAGGAGGAUAAUGACGUUACUCGCAGAAGAAGCCCCGGCUAACUUCGUGCCAGCAGCCGCGGUAAUACGAAGGGGGCUAGCGUUGUUCGGAAUCACUGGGCGUAAAGCGCACGUAGGCGGACUUUUAAGUCAGGGGUGAAAUCCCGGGGCUCAACCUCGGAACUGCCUUUGAUACUGGAAGUCUGGAGUCCGAGAGAGGUGAGUGGAACUCCGAGUGUAGAGGUGAAAUUCGUAGAUAUUCGGAAGAACACCAGUGGCGAAGGCGGCUCACUGGCUCGGUACUGACGCUGAGGUGCGAAAAGCGUGGGGAGCAAAACAGGAUUAGAUACCCUGGUAGUCCACGCCGUAAACGAUGGAAGCUAGCCGUCAGGGUGCAUGCAUCUUGGUGGCGCAGUUAACGCAUUAAGCUUCCCGCCUGGGGAGUACGGCCGCAAGAUUAAAACUCAAAUGAAUUGACGGGGUCAUAGCUGUUUCCU